rnacentral:lncRNA from 1 species
GGGUCAUGAUAAACUAUAGGAACCUUGUGCACACCACUCAAAUCCAAGGGAAGUAGAGGCGUCUUUGACACCAAGAGGUGCCAUGAUAUCAUCUCUCUAAUGCCCUCCUUCAUAAGGAUGAAUUGGGCAGAAAAUGCAGUGCUUCCAUCCACCAAAGGCCCAGACAAGAAAUAGAAGCAGAGCAGUGGUUCUCUUCCACUCUCGCUUCACCCAGCAUCAAGGUCAAGCCUGAAUAAUUUUUUCAUGUUUUUUUAAGAGGCAGCUGGAGCUGGAGUUAACUAACGACUCAGUUGGACAAGGUCUCCAGAAUGGUUCCUUCAUUCACAUACUGGGCACCUCAUCUGGAAUGGCUAGAACAGCUGGAGGCUGGCUGGGCGUGUGUCUCCAUGCAGCCUCUCCAUUUGGAUAGGUUGGGCUUCUCUCACCGUGGUGGUCUCAGAAUAGUCCUACCUCUUAACUGGUAGGUGGCUUCUCCUAGAGAACACACAGCAAGAGACCAGGGCUGGGAACUGCAAGGCUUCUGGUGAACUAGCCUGGAAGUCACACAGCAUCACUUCUACCACAUUCUGUUGCUCACACCCACAGGCACAGCCCAGAUAUAAGAGGAAGAAGCGGAC